GACGAACGCUGGCGGCGUGCUUAACACAUGCAAGUCGAACGGAAAGGCCCUGCUUUUGUGGGGUGCUCGAGUGGCGAACGGGUGAGUAACACGUGAGUAACCUGCCCUUGACUUUGGGAUAACUUCAGGAAACUGGGGCUAAUACCGGAUAGGAGCUCCUGCUGCAUGGUGGGGGUUGGAAAGUUUCGGCGGUUGGGGAUGGACUCGCGGCUUAUCAGCUUGUUGGUGGGGUAGUGGCUUACCAAGGCUUUGACGGGUAGCCGGCCUGAGAGGGUGACCGGCCACAUUAGGACUGAGAUACGGCCCAGAAUCCUACGGGAGGCAGCAGUGGGGAAUAUUGCACAAUGGGCGGAAGCCUGAUGCAGCAACGCCGCGUGCGGGAUGACGGCCUUCGGGUUGUAAACCGCUUUCGCCUGUGACGAAGCGUGAGUGACGGUAAUGGGUAAAGAAGCACCGGCUAACUACGUG
rnacentral:rRNA from 1 species